rnacentral:rRNA from 1 species
UACAGAGGGUGCAAGCGUUAAUCGGAAUUACUGGGCGUAAAGCGUGCGUAGGUGGUUUGUUAAGUCUGAUGUGAAAGCCCUGGGCUCAACCUGGGAAUUGCAUUGGAUACUGGCAGGCUAGAGUGCGGUAGAGGGUAGUGGAAUUCCCGGUGUAGCAGUGAAAUGCGUAGAGAUCGGGAGGAACACCAGUGGCGAAGGCGACUACCUGGACCAGCACUGACACUGAGGCACGAAAGCGUGGGGAGCAAACAGG